rnacentral:rRNA from 1 species
CGCGUGGGAAUAUACCCAAAGGUAGGGAAUAGCCUCUGGAAACGGAGAGUAAUACCCUAUGAGCCCUUCGGGGGAAAGAUUUAUCGCCUUUGGAUUAGCCCGCGUUAGAUUAGGUAGUUGGUGGGGUAAUGGCCUACCAAGCCUACGAUCUAUAGCUGGUUUUAGAGGAUGAUCAGCAACACCGGGACUGAGACACGGCCCAGACUCCUACGGGAGGCAGCAGUGGGGAAUCUUGGACAAUGGGCGCAAGCCUGAUCCAGCCAUGCCGCGUGAGUGAUGAAGGCCUUAGGGUCGUAAAGC